rnacentral:lncRNA from 1 species
UGCUCUCCGGCCAGACCCCAGCCACCGUGCACCCACCCUGGUGUGGCGCCCAGGAGGAGAGCUGUGGAUUGAGCCCAUCCCUGGGAGGGGAGGCCCCCCGCCACAGGCCUGGUGAGCUGGGCUGAACCCGAGCAGAGGCCAGAGGCCAGCGUCCAGUUUGGGAGCCCCCAGGCCAGGAGGCUAUGUGGACUAGGGGAAGCCCAGCAGUGCCUCUGCUCAGCUACCUGGGCUGUGGCUCAGAGACCUGGGGGUGGAGCCAAUGCCAGGCCAGAAGCCUUCAAGAUCGCAUCCAGAUGGGCCAAGCUGCAGCGGCGCUGUCUUGCUGGAGUGGGGACCUAGAGUCAGAGAAAACCCACAGGCUCCUCUGCCCAUUCUCCUCCAUCUGCACACGUCUCAGCCUCGGACCCUCACCACUCCAUGGUGAGGAAGGCCAUGGCCAGGGGAAACUGAGUUUCAUCCAAUGUGGAGAGGAGCGUUGUCCUAGAGCAGGGCAACUCCCAAACUGUGCCCUCUGAUCAUCGUCCCUUCCAGCUUGCUGGAGUGUCCAGAGAGACAGAUUUGCCACAAGCUAGGCUUACUUAUAAUGCUCCACCCCACAGAAAUGGGACCCCAAGUACCCGAUCUUCCCUUUAGGAGAGGCAGGCAGGUGGGUGAGCAGCAGAUGUAGUUUCCAUUUCCCUGGGGGUUUAAUUUUCCAAACUUUGUCUUUUUUUUUUUUUUUUUUNNNNNNNNNNCUCAGCUCACUGCAACCUCCACCUCCCGGGGUCAAGCAACCUCCACCUCCCGAGGUCUCCUGCCUCAGCCUCCCAAGUGGCUAGGAUUACAGGCUCCUGCCAACAUGCCCGGCUAAUUUUUGUAUUUUUAGUAGAGACAGGGUUUUGCCAUGUUGGCCAGGCUGGUCCCAAACUCCUGACCUCAGGUGAUCCACCCGCCUCGGUCUCCCAAAGUGCUGGGAUUACAGGCGUGAGCCACCUCGCCCAGCCCAGGGAUUUCUAUCUAUUCUUCCACCACCCUGGCCACUACAUGCUCACCCACACAUACAUUGGUCAUGCGACUUUGGUCAUGAAAUCUCUUUUCUUUAAGCCUUACUUUUGUCAUCUGUGGAUGAGUCAAACUAGAGAAUCUCAGAAAGUCGCCUGGACUCCAGAGCCUGAUGACAUCUUGUGAAAUGCAGGGACAAGGCCCCAGUUCAUGAUCUGCCUCCAUCACCUUAUUCACUUAGAGACUU